rnacentral:rRNA from 1 species
CCUACGGGAGGCAGCAGUAGGGAAUCUUCCACAAUGGGCGAAAGCCUGAUGGAGCAACGCCGCGUGGGUGAAGAAGGUCUUCGGAGCGUAAAACCCUGUUGUUAGAGAAGAAAGUGCGUGAGAGUAACUGUUCACGUUUCGACGGUAUCUAACCAGAAAGCCACGGCUAACUACGUGCCAGCAGCCGCGGUAAUACGUAGGUGGCUAGCGUUAUCCGGAUUUAUUGGGCGUAAAGGGAACGCAGGUGGUCUGUUAAGUCUGAUGUGAAAGUCUUCGGCUUAACCGGAGUAGUGCAUUGGAAACUGGGAGUCUUGAGUGCAGAUGAGGAGAGUGGAACUCGAUGUGUAGCGGUGAAAUGCGUAGAUAUAUGGAAGAACUCCAGUGGCGAAAGCGGCUCUCUGGUCUGCAACUGACGUUGAGGUUCGAAAGUGUGGGUAGCAAACAGGAUUAGAUACCCGUGUAGUC